AUUUCCUGCCUCGGUGGAUGAAGUCCUGGAAAAGCAGAACCAUCAUACAGACCUUCUGGAGCUGCUGGGGGACAUAUUUGAUCAUUUUGACUGAACAGCGUUUUAGAGGUUUGGAUGGCAGCUGGCCUUUGACCCAAGUUAUGUUAUUUGUUGCCCCUGGGGGUAAGAAAUAACAUUUCUUGGGUCUGGAAGUGGGGGUGCAGCAGCAUUUUUUUUUAACCUUGUUUUUU